rnacentral:rRNA from 1 species
UUUGGUUAAGUUAGAAAGGGCGCACGGUGGAUGCCUUGACACUAGGAGUCGAUGAAGGACGGGACUAACGCCGAUAUGCUUCGGGGAGCUGUAAGUAAGCUUUGAUCCGAAGAUUUCCGAAUGGGGAAACCCACCAUACGUAAUGGUAUGGUAUCCUUAUCUGAAUACAUAGGGUAAGGAAGACAGACCCAGGGAACUGAAACAUCUAAGUACCUGGAGGAAGAGAAAGCAAAUGCGAUUUCCUGAGUAGCGGCGAGCGAAACGGAACAUAGCCCAAACCAAGAGGCUUGCCUCUUGGGGUUGUAGGACAUUCUAUACGGAGUUACAAAGGAACGAGGUAGACGAAGCGACCUGGAAAGGUCCGUCGUAGAGGGUAACAACCCCGUAGUCGAAACUUCGUUCUCUCUUGAAUGUAUCCUGAGUACGGCGGAACACGUGAAACUCCGUCGGAAUCUGGGAGGACCAUCUCCCAAGGCUAAAUACUCCCUAGUGAUCGAUAGUGAACCAGUACCGUGAGGGAAAGGUGAAAAGCACCCCGGAAGGGGAGUGAAAGAGAUCCUGAAACCGUGUGCCUACAAAUAGUCAGAGCCCGUUAACGGGUGAUGGCGUGCCUUUUGUAGAAUGAACCGGCGAGUUACGAUCCCGUGCGAGGUUAAGCUGAAGAGGCGGAGCCGCAGCGAAAGCGAGUCUGAAUAGGGCGUUUAGUACGUGGUCGUAGACCCGAAACCAGGUGAUCUACCCAUGUCCAGGGUGAAGUUCAGGUAACACUGAAUGGAGGCCCGAACCCACGCACGUUGAAAAGUGCGGGGAUGAGGUGUGGGUAGCGGAGAAAUUCCAAUCGAACCUGGAGAUAGCUGGUUCUCCCCGAAAUAGCUUUAGGGCUAGCCUUAAGUGUAAGAGUCUUGGAGGUAGAGCACUGAUUGGACUAGGGGUCCUCAUCGGAUUACCGAAUUCAGUCAAACUGCGAAUGCCAAUGGCUGAUCCUUAGGAGGCAGUGUUCGAGUGAUAGGAGCCGUAGUCAAAAGGGAAACAGCCCGGACCGCCAGCUAAGGAAACAAGGUGUGUAUUAAGUGGAAAAGGAUGUGGAGUUGCUUAGACAACUAGGAUGUUGGCUUAGAAGCAGCCACCAUUUAAAGAGUGCGUAAUAGCUCACUAGUCGAGUGACUCUGCGCCGAAAAUGUACCGGGGCUAAAUACACCACCGAAGCUGCGGAUUGAUACCGAAUGGUAUCAGUGGUAGGGGAGCGUUCUAAGGACAGUGAAGUCAGACCGGAAGGACUGGUGGAGUGCUUAGAAGUGAGAAUGCCGGUAUGAGUAGCGAAAGACGGGUGAGAAUCCCGUCCACCGAAUGCCUAAGGUUUCCUGAGGAAGGCUCGUCCGCUCAGGGUUAGUCAGGACCUAAGCCGAGGCCGACAGGCGUAGGCGAUGGACAACAGGUUGAUAUUCCUGUACCACCUCUUUAUCGUUUGAGCAAUGGAGGGACGCAGAAGGAUAGAAGAAGCGUGCGAUUGGUUGUGCACGUCCAAGCAGUUAGGCUGAUAAGUAGGCAAAUCCGCUUAUCGUAAAGGCUGAGCUGUGAUGGGGAAGCUCCUUAUGGAGCGAAGUCUUUGAUUCCCCGCUGCCAAGAAAAGCUUCUAGCGAGAUAAAAGGUGCCUGUACCGCAAACCGACACAGGUAGGCGAGGAGAGAAUCCUAAGGUGUGCGAGAGAACUCUGGUUAAGGAACUCGGCAAAAUGACCCCGUAACUUCGGGAGAAGGGGUGCUUUCUUAACGGAAAGCCGCAGUGAAUAGGCCCAAGCGACUGUUUAGCAAAAACACAGCUCUCUGCGAAGCCGUAAGGCGAAGUAUAGGGGGUGACACCUGCCCGGUGCUGGAAGGUUAAGGAGAGGGGUUAGCGUAAGCGAAGCUCUGAACUGAAGCCCCUGUAAACGGCGGCCGUAACUAUAACGGUCCUAAGGUAGCGAAAUUCCUUGUCGGGUAAGUUCCGACCCGCACGAAAGGUGUAACGAUUUGGGCACUGUCUCAACCAGAGACUCGGUGAAAUUAUAGUACCUGUGAAGAUGCAGGUUACCCGCGACAGGACGGAAAGACCCCGUGGAGCUUUACUGUAGCCUGAUAUUGAAUUUUGGUACAGUUUGUACAGGAUAGGCGGGAGCCUUUGAAACCGGAGCGCUAGCUUCGGUGGAGGCGCUGGUGGGAUACCGCCCUGACUGUAUUGAAAUUCUAACCUACGGGUCUUAUCGAACCGGGAGACAGUGUCAGGUGGGCAGUUUGACUGGGGCGGUCGCCUCCUAAAGUGUAACGGAGGCGCCCAAAGGUUCCCUCAGAAUGGUUGGAAAUCAUUCGUAGAGUGCAAAGGCAUAAGGGAGCUUGACUGCGAGACCUACAAGUCGAGCAGGGACGAAAGUCGGGCUUAGUGAUCCGGUGGUUCCGCAUGGAAGGGCCAUCGCUCAACGGAUAAAAGCUACCCCGGGGAUAACAGGCUUAUCUCCCCCAAGAGUCCACAUCGACGGGGAGGUUUGGCACCUCGAUGUCGGCUCAUCGCAUCCUGGGGCUGUAGUCGGUCCCAAGGGUUGGGCUGUUCGCCCAUUAAAGCGGUACGCGAGCUGGGUUCAGAACGUCGUGAGACAGUUCGGUCCCUAUCCGUCGUGGGCGUAGGAAAUUUGAGAGGAGCUGUCCUUAGUACGAGAGGACCGGGAUGGACGCACCGCUGGUGUACCAGUUGUUCUGCCAAGGGCAUAGCUGGGUAGCUAUGUGCGGAAGGGAUAAGUGCUGAAAGCAUCUAAGCAUGAAGCCCCCCUCAAGAUGAGAUUUCCCAUAGCGUAAGCUAGUAAGAUCCCUGAAAGAUGAUCAGGUUGAUAGGUUCGAGGUGGAAGCAUGGUGACAUGUGGAGCUGACGAAUACUAAUAGAUCGAGGACUUAACCAUAUAA